rnacentral:tRNA from 1 species
GGAGUAACUGUGGCUCAGUGACAGAGCAUCCCCUUUGCAUGCUAAAGGUUCCAGGUUCAAUCCCUGGCAUCUCCA